UACGCUUCUCACACUAGCAAUAGUGCUCACACGCAUGGUAAACAGAGGAAAUAUCCUUAUCAUCAGUAUACAUCUCCUUGAUGUGCUUAAAACCUAAGAAUUUAGAUCUUAGAUUGGAAAGUAACGCGUAUCUUCGAGAUAAUGCAUGAAUGAUGACAUUACCCAUCCUCGGUUUAUACUUGAUCACAUACAGGAAUGACUCUAUAAACUCUAUCCGCUUACCGUGUCUACAGUUGAGCUUACCUUGGUCCUUUAUGUGCUUAAGGGACUCGUGAUCACUGUGAAUCACAAACUCCUUCAGUAGCAGAUAGUGUUGCCACGUCUCCAAGGACUUUAUCAAGGCAU
rnacentral:lncRNA from 1 species